CCUACGGGAGGCAGCAGUGGGGAAUAUUGGGCAAUGGAGGAAACUCUGACCCAGCAACGCCGCGUGAAUGAUGAAGGUCUUCGGAUUGUAAAGCUCUUUUCUAAGGGAAGAAGAAAGUGACGGUACCUUAGGAAUAAGCCUCGGCUAACUACGUGCCAGCAGCCGCGGUAAUACGUAGGAGGCGAGCGUUAUCCGGAAUGACUGGGCGGAAAGGGGGCGGAGGUGGUUUGGCAAGUUAGUAGCGUAACUCCAAGGCUCAACCUUGGAACUACUACUAAAACUGUUGGACUUGAGUGCAGGAGGGGCAAGCGGAAUUCCUAGUGUAGCGGUGGAAUGCGUAGAUAGUAGGAGGAACACCAGUGGCGAAGGCGGGUUGCUAGACUGUAACUGACACUGAGGCACGAAAGCGUGGGGAGCAAACAGGAUUAGAUACCCCUGUAGUC
rnacentral:rRNA from 1 species